rnacentral:rRNA from 1 species
AGAGUUCGAUCCUGGCUCAGGAUGAACGCUGGCGGCGCGCCUAACACAUGCAAGUCGAACGGCACCCCUCUCCGGAGGGAAGCGAGUGGCGAACGGCUGAGUAACACGUGGAGAACCUGCCCCCUCCCCCGGGAUAGCCGCCCGAAAGGACGGGUAAUACCGGAUACCCCGGGGUGCCGCAUGGCACCCCGGCUAAAGCCCCGACGGGAGGGGAUGGCUCCGCGGCCCAUCAGGUAGACGGCGGGGUGACGGCCCACCGUGCCGACAACGGGUAGCCGGGUUGAGAGACCGACCGGCCAGAUUGGGACUGAGACACGGCCCAGACUCCUACGGGAGGCAGCAGUGGGGAAUCUUGCGCAAUGGGGGGAACCCUGACGCAGCGACGCCGCGUGCGGGACGGAGGCCUUCGGGUCGUAAACCGCUUUCAGCAGGGAAGAGUCAAGACUGUACCUGCAGAAGAAGCCCCGGCUAACUACGUGCCAGCAGCCGCGGUAAUACGUAGGGGGCGAGCGUUGUCCGGAAUUACUGGGCGUAAAGGGUGCGUAGGCGGUUUGGUAAGUUGGAUGUGAAAUACCCGGGCUUAACUUGGGGGCUGCAUCCAAUACUGUCGGACUUGAGUGCAGGAGAGGAAAGCGGAAUUCCUAGUGUAGCGGUGAAAUGCGUAGAUAUUAGGAGGAACACCGGUGGCGAAGGCGGCUUUCUGGACUGUAACUGACGCUGAGGCACGAAAGCGUGGGGAGCAAACAGGAUUAGAUACCCUGGUAGUCCACGCCGUAAACG